UAUUUUUAUUGUAUAAAAUUUACCAAAAGUCCUUGGUAAAAAAUUCAACUCCAGGUUGACAAACCUUGCACCACUGUGCAACAAAAACAAUGGGCCGCAAAGAAAAAAUUGUGCUCUCCGGCAGCAACAACAACAAUGGGAGCCUGACCAGCAGGCGAAUCUGAAGACAAGAAACAGGACGAAAAAUACGAGAAAAAAAUGCAUGACGGAACUGGACAGACGCAGCGACGUCCAUGGAAGCAGCGAAGGUAGCGCAAGAGGGGAAGCUACUUGGACCAGCGAGGACUGAGAAUGAAAGUGUACUAUGAGUCCAAGCUCUUACACACACAAGCCCGCAGAUGUGUGUGUGUGUGUUUGUGUGUGGAGCAGCUGGGCCAUUGUUGGCGGACACUCACACACAUACACACACACCGCACCGGUUGUCCUGUGCUGCUGUUUCCUUCAAUAAGUUCAAAGUGGCAAGCCAAAGCGCGCUCUCACUCACAGAAGCGGGGCGCGCUCACACACAUACAUACACCGACGGGCACACAUACACUGAGACACUUUGGCGACGUGCUGCGGGGCAAAAAAAAAUACUCAGAGAGCCAGCAGAGCAAAGAAAAAGAAAAAAAACGAAACGAAACGAAUUCUGCACAGAAAAUAAAAAUUGUUUGCAAGAAAGAAUGAAAGAAAAAAUCGGAAAAAAUGCAAGCCAAGUGGUUGCUGGGCGCAUUCAAAGGGGGAGUGGGCGAAGGUAGCAGCAUGCUGGCUGUUGGGUGUGCCCGCUAUGUCUCCAACACCACCCCCCUAUUAACUGGGUUGCUGCUGCUGCCACCGCUGCCGCUGCUUUUGCUGCUGCUGAUGUCCAACGUCGCGACCGUCGACGUCUGCCGCUGCUGCUCUGCUGCGCCCGUGUGUGUCAGUUUCAGCUGCUCACAUAGUUGGCCGAAGAUAAAGGUGACGUUGAUGGCAAGGGGGAAACAAUGCAAUGGGGCCAACAAGGGGCAGGGUACGGUAGGGUAGGGUGCUGGCGAUGGGAAGACCCUCAAGUGUUGGCAUGCAAAAAAAAACACAAUAAAUAUAGCCAAGCACAUGGCGUCGUUGUCGCAGACAUACAUGUGCACAUGUAGGCAUGUGUGACACACAUACAUACACAAAUACAUAUGCAUGCUCAUAUGCUCAAGCACAUGUAGUGUGUGUGUGUGUGUGUUUAAAUAUA